GCGGGAGGUUGGCCCAAUUCAUAUAUGCACGUUGGCAGACAGGUUGUCCGAUUCGUAAGCGAGCAGUGAGCGCAAGGUCUACUAAUGUGAGAUAGCUCAUCAUAGGCACCCCCCAGCUUACAGUUUAUGCAUCAGUCUGGUACGCCAGUGUGUACUGUGAGCGCAUACGACUUUCACACAGUAAAGCAGCUAUGAGCAUGAAUACAGCUAAGCAUGCACGCCUGCUAUAGAAGAUUUCGGGUUGAUCGUGCCGGACCCUAUUGCUAUCGGGUGGGAGUAUACCAUGCUACUUCUGCGUCUUCAAGCUAUGGUGAGACGCGGCGUAUGGCUCAGUAACACGUGGCUAACCUAACCUUGGGACAGGGACAACCAUGGGAAACUGUGGCUAACACUAGAUGGACGAGAGUGCCUGGAAUGGUUUCUCGCGCAAAGUUCGUUGAGACCACGCUUCUCGACUCUGCCCAAGGAUGAGGCCGCGGCCGAUCAGGUUGUCGGUGGGGUAAUGGCUCACCAAGCCCAUAACCGGUACGUGCUGUGAGAGCGAGAGCCCGGAGAUGGGCAUUGAGAUAAGGUCCCAGGCCCUUCGGGGCGCAGCAGUUGCGAAAACUUCCCAAUGCGUGAAAGCGUGACGGGGCUACCCCGAGUCCUGUCCGCUGAGGAUAGCUUUUGUCUGGUGUAGGGACCCAGGGGAAUAAGGAGAGGGCAAGAGUGGUGUCAGCCGCCGCGGUAAUCCCAGCUCUCCGAGUGGUAGGGACGAUUAUUGGGCUUAAAGCGUUCGUAGCCGGCCCGGCAAGUCUCCCGUCAAAUCCAGCGGCUUAAUCGUUGGGCUGCGAGAGAUACUGUUGGCCUUGGGGGCGGGAGAGGCCGACGGUAUUCCCGGGGUAGGGGUGAAAUCCUGUAAUCCCGGGAGGACCACCAGUGGCGAAGGCUGUCGGCUAGAACGCGCCCGCCGGUGAGGGACGAAAGCUGGGGGAGCGAACCGGAUUAGAUACCCGGGUAGUCCCAGCUGUAAGCGAUGCUGGUUAGGUGUCGGAUUGGUUACGAACCACUCCGGUGCCGCAGGGAAGCCCUUAAGCCAGCCGCCUGGGAAGUACGGUCGCAAGGCAGAAACUUAAAGGAAUUGGCGGGGGAGCACCACAAGGGGUGAAGCUUGGGGUUCAAUUGGAUUCAACGCCGG
rnacentral:rRNA from 1 species